UCGUCCUGAUUUGAGAGAUGCCAGCCUUGCCUGUCUCCUGUCCGCAGGUGACCUGGUGGCCGAAGCAGCCAGUGGCAAGCCCCCGCCGGACAGCCUGAUGUGCAGCGGGAGCUCGCUGGUGGCCUCAGCCGGCUUGGAAAGCCAUGGCCGGACCCCGUCUCCAUCCCCGCCCUGCAGCAGCUCCCCCAGCCCCUCAGGGCGGGCUGGCCCGUUCUCCAGCAGCAGGUGUGGCGCGUCCGUCCCCAUCCCAGUGCCCACACAGGUGCAAAACUACCAGCGCAUCGAGCAGAACCUGCAGUCGCCCACCCAGUACCAGACCC